rnacentral:rRNA from 1 species
AAUGAACGCUGGCGGCAUGCCUUACACAUGCCAGUCGAACGGCAGCAUGACCUAGCUUGCUAGGUUGAUGGCGAGUGGCGAACGGGUGAGUAAUGCAUCGGAACGUGCCUUUUAGUGGGGGAUAACGUAGCGAAAGUUACGCUAAUACCGCAUAUUCUCUGAGGAGGAAAGCAGGGGGCCUUCGGGCCUUGCGCUAGAAGAGCGGCCGAUGUCGGAUUAGCUAGUUGGUGAGGUAAAGGCUCACCAAGGCAACGAUCCGUAGCGGGUCUGAGAGGAUGAUCCGCCACACUGGGACUGAGACACGGCCCAGACUCCUACGGGAGGCAGCAGUGGGGAAUUUUGGACAAUGGGCGCAAGCCUGAUCCAGCCAUGCCGCGUGAGUGAAGAAGGCCUUCGGGUUGUAAAGCUCUUUCGGCUGGGAAGAAAUCGCACUCUCUAAUACAGGGUGUGGAUGACGGUACCAGCAGAAGAAGCACCGGCUAACUACGUG